AGGCCCGUUAUCGGAAUGAGUACAAUCCAAACCCUUUAACAAGGAUCUAUCAGAGGGCAAGUCUGGUGCCAGCAGCCGCGGUAAUUCCAGCUCUGAGGGUGUAUACCACCGUUGUUGCGGUUAAAACGCUCGUAGUUGGAUCUACGUUCGUGGGGUCGGUGUUCUCGUUUGAGUUCUACUGACUACCUGAACUGAAACAGCUGGUUUUCCCUUGGUGCUCUUUAUUGGGUGCCCCGGGUGGCUAGCAAGUUUACUUUGAAAAAAUUAGAGUGCUCAAAACAGGCGCAUGCCUGAAUAGUGGUGCAUGGAAUAAUGGAAUAGGAUCUUGGUCCUAUUUUGUUGGUUUUCGGGAGCCAAGAUAAUGAUUAAGAGGGACAGACGGGGGCAUUCGUAUUGCAGCGUUAGAGGUGAAAUUCUUGGAUCGUUGCAAGACGAACAACUGCGAAAGCAUUUGCCAAGAAUGUUUUCAUUAAUCAAGAACGAAAGUUAGAGGUUCGAAGGCGAUCAGAUACCGCCCUAGUUCUAACCGUAAACGAUGCCAACUCGCGAUCUAGUGGUGUUAUUUAUGACCCGCUAGGGAGCGUCCCGGAAACGAAAGUUUUUCGGUUCCGGGGGAAGUAUGGUUGCAAAUCUGAAACUUAAAGGAAUUGACGGAAGGGCACCACCAGGAGUGGAGCCUGCAGCUUAAUUUGACCCAACACGGGAAAACUCACCCGGCCCGGACACCGUAAGGAUUGACAGAUUGAGAGCUCUUUCUUGAUUCGGUGGGUGGUGGUGCAUGGCCGUUCUUAGUUGGUGGAGCGAUUUGUCUGGUUAAUUCCGAUAACGAACGAGACUCUAUCCUACUAAAUAGCAAGCGGAUCAGCCCAGUCCGCAGUGCUUCUUAGAGGGACAAGCAGCUUUUAGCUGCACGAAAGUGAGCAAUAACAGGUCUGUGAUGCCCUUAGAUGUCCGGGGCUGCACGCGCGCUACACUGAAAGGAUCAGCGUGCAAGAUACCUUCCCCGAGAGGGGUGGGUAACCCAGUCAAAACCUUUCGUGAUUGGGAUAGGAGAUUGCAAUUAUUCUCCUUGAACGAGGAAUUCCCAGUAAGUGUGGGUCAUCAGCUCGCGCUGAUUACGUCCCUGCCCUUUGUACACACCGCCCGUCGCUGCCCGGAACUGAGCCGUUUCGAGAAGAACAGGGACUGCUGUUUGGUGGCCUUCGGGUUGCCUCUAGGCGGAAACUGUUUUAAUCGGUAUGGCUUGAACCGGGCAAAAGUCGUAACAAGGUU
rnacentral:rRNA from 1 species